CCUACGGGGGGCUGCAGUGAGGAAUAUUGGUCAAUGGCCGCGAGCCUGAACCAGCCAAGUAGCGUGAAGGAUGACGGCCCUACGGGUUGUAAACCUCUUUUAUAGGGGAGUAAAGUGAGUCACGUGUGCCUCUUUGCGUGUACCCGAUGAAUAAGCAUCGGCUAACUCCGUGCCAGCAGCCGCGGUAAUACGGAGGAUCCGAGCGUUAUCCGGAUUUAUUGGGUUUAAAGGGUGCGUAGGCGGGUUGUUAAGUCAGUGGUGAAAGUUGGCGGCUCAACCGUAAAAUUGCCGUUGAUACUGGAACCCUUGAGUGCAGUAGAGGUAGGCGGAAUUCGUGGUGUAGCGGUGAAAUGCAUAGAUAUCACGAAGAACUCCGAUUGCGAAGGCAGCAUACUGGCGUGUAACUGACGCUGAUGCACGAAAGUGUGGGUAUCGAACAGGAUUAGAUACCCGAGUAGUC
rnacentral:rRNA from 1 species